rnacentral:rRNA from 1 species
CCUACGGGAGGCAGCAGUGGGGAAUAUUGGACAAUGGGGGAAACCCUGAUCCAGCCAUGCCGCGUGAGUGAUGAAGGCCUUAGGGUUGUAAAGCUCUUUUGUCAGGGAUGCGGUACCUGAAGAAUAAGCACCGGCUAACUUCGUGCCAGCAGCCGCGGUAAUACGAAGGGUGCUAGCGUUGUUCGGAUUUACUGGGCGUAAAGCGUGCGUAGGUGGCUUUACAAGUCAGGGGUGAAAUCCUGGGGCUCAACCCCAGAAUUGCCUUUGAAACUGUAGAGCUAGAGUAUCGGAGGGGAUAGCGGAAUUCCUAAUGUAGAGGUGAAAUUCGUAGAUAUUAGGAGGAACACCGGUGGCGAAGGCGGCUAUCUGAGAUUACUGACACUCUGGCACGAAAGCGCGGGGAUCAAACAGGAUUAGAUACCCUUGUAGUC